rnacentral:rRNA from 1 species
AGUGAACGCUGGCGGUAGGCCUAACACAUGCAAGUCGAACGGCAGCACAGUAAGAGCUUGCUCUUACGGGUGGCGAGUGGCGGACGAGUGAGGAAUACAUCGGAAUCUACUUUUUCGUGGGGGAUAACGUAGGGAAACUUACGCUAAUACCGCAUACGACCUACGGGUGAAAGCAGGGGAUCUUCGGACCUUGCGCGAUUGAAUGAGCCGAUGUCGGAUUAGCUAGUUGGCGGGGUAAAGGCCCACCAAGGCGACGAUCCGUAGCUGGUCUGAGAGGAUGAUCAGCCAAACUGGAAAUGAGACACGGUCCAGACUCCUAAGGGAGGCAGCAGUGGGGAAUAUUGGACAAUGGGCGCAAGCCUGAUCCAGCCAUACCGCGUGGGUGAAGAAGGCCUUCGGGUUGUAAAGCCCUUUUGUUGGGAAAGAAAAGCAGCAGGUUAAUACCCCGCUGUUCUGACGGUACCCAAAGAAUAAGCACCGGCUAACUUCGUG